ensembl:snoRNA U3 Small nucleolar RNA U3
AUGACUAAACUUUCAGGGGUCAUUUCUGUAGUUCAUUACUAGAGAAGUUUCUCUGAAUGUGUGGAAAAAUAAGUAAAU